CAUGCAGUCGAACGGCAGCACGGGUGCUUGCACCUGGUGGCGAGUGGCGAACGGGUGAGUAAUACAUCGGAACAUGUCCUGUAGUGGGGGAUAGCCCGGCGAAAGCCGGAUUAAUACCGCAUACGAUCUACGGAUGAAAGCGGGGGACCUUCGGGCCUCGCGCUAUAGGGUUGGCCGAUGGCUGAUUAGCUAGUUGGUGGGGUAAAGGCCUACCAAGGCGACGAUCAGUAGCUGGUCUGAGAGGACGACCAGCCACACUGGGACUGAGACACGGCCCAGACUCCUACGGGAGGCAGCAGUGGGGAAUUUUGGACAAUGGGCGAAAGCCUGAUCCAGCAAUGCCGCGUGUGUGAAGAAGGCCUUCGGGUUGUAAAGCACUUUUGUCCGGAAAGAAAUCCUUGGCUCUAAUACAGUCGGGGGAUGACGGUACCGGAAGAAUAAGCACCGGCUAACUACGUGCCAGCAGCCGCGGUAAUACGUAGGGUGCGAGCGUUAAUCGGAAUUACUGGGCGUAAAGCGUGCGCAGGCGGUUUGCUAAGACCGAUGUGAAAUCCCCGGGCUCAACCUGGGAACUGCAUUGGUGACUGGCAGGCUAGAGUAUGGCAGAGGGGGGUAGAAUUCCACGUGUAGCAGUGAAAUGCGUAGAGAUGUGGAGGAAUACCGAUGGCGAAGGCAGCCCCCUGGGCCAAUACUGACGCUCAUGCACGAAAGCGUGGGGAGCAAACAGGAUUAGAUAC
rnacentral:rRNA from 1 species